rnacentral:rRNA from 1 species
AACGGUAACAGGAAGCAGCUUGCUGCUUUGCUGACGAGUGGCGGACGGGUGAGUAAUGUCUGGGAAACUGCCCGAUGGAGGGGGAUAACUACUGGAAACGGUAGCUAAUACCGCAUAACGUCGCAAGACCAAAGAGGGGGGACCUUAGGGCCUCUUGCCAUCGGAUGUGCCCAGAUGGGAUUAGCUAGUAGGUGGGGUAACGGCUCACCUAGGCGACGAUCCCUAGCUGGUCUGAGAGGAUGACCAGCCACACUGGAACUGAGACACGGUCCAGACUCCUACGGGAGGCAGCAGUGGGGAAUAUUGCACAAUGGGCGCAAGCCUGAUGCAGCCAUGCCGCGUGUAUGAAGAAGGCCUUCGGGUUGUAAAGUACUUUCAGCGGGGAGGAAGGGAGUAAAGUUAAUACCUUUGCUCAUUGACGUUACCCGCAGAAGAAGCACCGGCUAACUCCGUGCCAGCAGCCGCGGUAAUACGGAGGGUGCAAGCGUUAAUCGGAAUUACUGGGCGUAAAGCGCACGCAGGCGGUUUGUUAAGUCAGAUGUGAAAUCCCCGGGCUCAACCUG